GAGAUUGUGUAUAAGAGAGAGAGACACCUUCCUGAAGCAUGUGAAGGAAAAUGAUCAGAGGAAGAAGGAAGCCAAAGAGAAAGGUACUUGGGUUCAGCUGAAGCGCCAGCCUGCCCCACCCAGAGAAGUGCA